GGAGAUAUAGCUCAGUUGGUAGAGUGCUUGCCUUGUAUGCCCAGGCGCUGGAUUCAAUCCCCAGUACCACCA
rnacentral:tRNA from 1 species